rnacentral:rRNA from 1 species
GAUGAACGCUAGCGAUAGGCCUAACACAUGCAAGUCGAGGGGCAUCACAUGAAGUAGCAAUACGGAUGGUGGCGACCGGCGCACGGGUGAGUAACACGUAUGCAACCUGCCUUCAACAAGGGGAUAACCCGUUGAAAGACGGACUAAUACCCUAUAACACAGGGGUCCCGCAUGGGAAUAUUUGUUAAAGGACAACCGGUUGAAGAUGGGCAUGCGUUCCAUUAGCUAGUUGGCGGGUAACGGCCCACCAAGGCAACGAUGGAUAGGGGAACUGAGAGGUUUAUCCCCCACACUGGUACUGAGACACGGACCAGACUCCUACGGGAGGCAGCAGUGAGGAAUAUUGGUCAAUGGACGCAAGUCUGAACCAGCCACGUCGCGUGAAGGAAGACGGCCCUACGGGUUGUAAACUUCUUUUAUACGGGAAUAAAGUGCCCCACGCGUGGGGUUUUGCAUGUACCGUAUGAAUAAGGAUCGGCUAACUCCGUGCCAGCAGCCGCGGUAAUUACG